CGCCCCAGCCUCCGCCUCAGUGGCCCCCGCCUGGGCCAUCGAUGCAGAGAAAGACGCAGCCUCCAGAGUCAGAUGCAGAAACUGAGGCAUGGAGUUCAUGUGACUGCUCAGAUAACAAAGCCCAGUUCUCCUGACUCCAAAGCUCACAAGCUACCCCUUCAUCCCGGUGUCCCCUCCUCAGAGUCCCAGUGCCUAUGGGGGGGACGACGCUCCUCAGAGCCCCCGAGGAGGGUGAGCAGGCCGCAGAGCUGAGCCGGCCUGGCCUCCCGGCAGAGAGCCCCGGGCCUGGAGGAGUUAACAGCCACCGCAGCCUCUGGGCCCCAGAUGCUCUUAACCAUGACUCAUCACAGCACGUGGCUGCCAUUAGAGUUGUCCCUUCACAAAGGCAGGGGACAGGAGGAGGAGGAAGAGGAGGGAUUUCAGCUCUCCUGGGUCAGCCCUGAGCUCCAGAAUGUCAGAAGAGGAAGCAGGAGGGGGCAGACUGCAGAAACUGUUAAGAUGGGAGCCAAGCUCAGCGAGGUCUGCACCAGGGCUGCCCUUGGAGCUGCAGCUCCCCCACCUGGUGCAGUGCUGGGAUCCUGCAGCCAUCACCUGUGAGUCACAGCAUCAGAUGGGCUCACCUGUAGGAGGUUCCACCUGGGCCAUUCCUGGCCCCAGGAGCUGUGAGUCACCAUCAUUGUUUCUGCCUCCCCAACCCAGAUGCCCCUACUCAGAUCCCAGGCCUGUUACCCCAUCUUGAACUGACAGCUGAGCCCUGGGAACGGGGACGGAAGGGCAUCCUGAGUCCUGGGUCCUUCCCUCUCUAUCAGGGGACCAGUUUCCUGGGGUUUAAUGCCUGGGAGAUGCCAGGCCUGCAGUCCUCCUCAUUUCCUCCCAACCUGAAAGAACAGUUGCCAGUCCCCAGCGCCUCAGUGGCUUCAGCCCCUCAGUGGCUCCAGCCCCCUCCUCCAGGGAUUGCUUUCACCUGUGCCAUCUCUCGGUCCCUAUGUGGUAAAGGAAACCUCCUCAAAAUGCCCCAGAGAGUCUGUGGUAACAUUGCCUCCUCUCCUACAGAGGAGAUAACUGAGGCUAGGAUCAAAUGUGACUUUGACCAGUUGAGCCAGAGCUUGAACCUGUGUCUUGAUUCCUUAUCCUACAGGAAACGGGAAGAUAAGAGGAAGGGAGGGAUGUUGGAAAUGGAUCUCAGAAACAGGGUGGCUAAGCCUGUGCCCUCGUCGUCUUCAUCAUAGAAAGAGCUGAAGCUGUGAAGUCAGCUCUGCACCCAGCUCUGAAUCUGUUUUCCAUCGUGUAAACCCUGGAUAGUAAUCCACACUCUCAAGAAGGUGUGACAGUAACUGAGCAUUACCUGGUGACUCUUUGUCCCUGUUUCUCGCCUUCAGGUCCUUCCCCCAGCCCUUUUCCUGGAAGGAAGUGCCCUCCUCCGUCCCUGUGGUCUCUGCCAGCCCAGACCCUGCCCCCCAGUCCGGCUGAGCUGGGGUCCAUACACCAGGUUUUCUUAGCCGGCUCUACACAGCUAAGGAUUACAGGUUACAGGCUUGGGCUGGUUAAUAAUUCACAAGGGAGCAGGCCCAACAACAUGGGCCCAUGACAGAUACAGUCCCUGGCAGUCGAGCCUGGGGUAGCAUCUGGGCCUGCUCCUGGGAUGGGCCUCCCUCCCCUCCCAUGGACUCUGCCCCCACUAAUUAUGUGGCCUUAGGCACAUUAUGGUCUUACUCUCCCUC
ensembl:lncRNA